UACGUAGGGUGCGAGCGUUAAUCGGAAUUACUGGGCGUAAAGCGUGCGCAGGCGGUUCGUUAUGUCCGAUGUGAAAGCCCCGAGCUUAACUUGGGAAUGGCAUUGGAAACUGGCGGGCUGGAGUGCGGCAGAAGGGGGUGGAAUUCCACGUGUAGCAGUGAAAUGCGUAGAGAUGUGGAGGAACACCGAUGGCGAAGGCAGCCCCCUGGGCCGACACUGACGCUCAGGCACGAAAGCGUGGGGAGCAAACAGG
rnacentral:rRNA from 1 species